rfam:Eggerthella sp. CAG:1427 genomic scaffold, scf61
GCCUUGGUCGGAAACCAAGGCAUACGAAGGAG